AGUUUGAUCCUGGCUCAGGAUGAACGCUAGCGGCAGGCUUAAUACAUGCAAGUCGUGGGGCAGCACAGGUAGCAAUACUGGGUGGCGACCGGCAAACGGGUGCGGAACACGUACGCAACCUUCCUUUAACUGGAGAAUAGCCCCUCGAAAGAGGGAUUAAUACUCCGUAACAUCCCGAUGUGGCAUCACAACGGGAUUAUAGCUCCGGCGGUUAAAGAUGGGCGUGCGCCUGAUUAGAUAGUUGGCGGGGUAACGGCCCACCAAGUCUGCGAUCAGUAACUGGUGUGAGAGCACGACCAGUCACACGGGCACUGAGACACGGGCCCGACUCCUACGGGAGGCAGCAGUAAGGAAUAUUGGUCAAUGGACGCAAGUCUGAACCAGCCAUGCCGCGUGGAGGAUUAAGGCCCUCUGGGUUGUAAACUCCUUUUAUCUGGGAAGAAAUCCACGAAUUCUUUUGUGGUUGACGGUACCAGAGGAAUAAGCACCGGCUAACUCCGUGCCAGCAGCCGCGGUAAUACGGAGGGUGCAAGCGUUAUCCGGAUUCACUGGGUUUAAAGGGUGCGUAGGCGGGCAGGUAAGUCCGUGGUGAAAUCUCUGAGCUUAACUCAGAAACUGCCAUGGAUACUAUUUGUCUUGAAUGUUGUGGAGGUAAGCGGAAUAUGUCAUGUAGCGGUGAAAUGCUUAGAUA
rnacentral:rRNA from 1 species